AAUGAACGCUGGCGGCAUGCCUUACACAUGCAAGUCGAACGGUAACAGGUUAAGCUGACGAGUGGCGAACGGGUGAGUAAUGUAUCGGAACGUGCCCAGUCGUGGGGGAUAACGUAGCGAAAGCUACGCUAAUACCGCAUACGAUCUACGGAUGAAAGCGGGGGAUCGCAAGACCUCGCGCGAUUGGAGCGGCCGAUAUCAGAUUAGGUUGUUGGUGAGGUAAAAGCUCACCAAGCCUGCGAUCUGUAGCUGGUCUGAGAGGACGACCAGCCACACUGGAACUGAGACACGGUCCAGACUCCUACGGGAGGCAGCAGUGGGGAAUUUUGGACAAUGGACGCAAGUCUGAUCCAGCAAUGCCGCGUGCAGGACGAAGGCCUUCGGGUUGUAAACUGCUUUUGUACGGAACGAAACGGUGAGCUCUAAUACAGUUUGCUAAUGACGGUACCGUAAGAAUAAGCACCGGCUAACUACGUGCCAGCAGCCGCCGUAA
rnacentral:rRNA from 1 species